rnacentral:rRNA from 1 species
UAGAGUUUGAUCAUGGCUCAGGAUGAACGCUAGCGACAGGCUUAACACAUGCAAGUCGAGGGGCAGCGGGGAGGUAGCAAUACUUCCGCCGGCGACCGGCGCACGGGUGAGUAACACGUAUGGAACCUGCCCGUAGCAGGGGGAUAAACGGAAGAAAUUCCGUCUAAUACCGCGUAAUAACUCCGAGAGGCAUCUCAUGGAGUUUAAAGGGUAACACCGGCUACGGAUGGCCAUGCGGCGCAUUAGCUAGUUGGCGGGGUAACGGCCCACCAAGGCGACGAUGCGUAGGGGUUCUGAGAGGAAGGUCCCCCACACUGGUACUGAGACACGGACCAGACUCCUACGGGAGGCAGCAGUGAGGAAUAUUGGUCAAUGGGCGCGAGCCUGAACCAGCCAAGUCGCGUGAGGGAAGACGGUCCUAUGGAUUGUAAACCUCUUUUGUCGGGGAGCAAAAGACGCCACGUGUGGCGUUCCGAGAGUACCCGAAGAAAAAGCAUCGGCUAACUCCGUGCCAGCAGCCGCGGUAAUACGGAGGAUGCGAGCGUUAUCCGGAUUUAUUGGGUUUAAAGGGUGCGCAGGCGGAAGAUCAAGUCAGCGGUAAAAUUGAGAGGCUCAACCUCUUCGAGCCGUUGAAACUGGUUUUCUUGAGUGAGCGAGAAGUAUGCGGAAUGCGUGGUGUAGCGGUGAAAUGCAUAGAUAUCACGCAGAACUCCGAUUGCGAAGGCAGCAUACCGGCGCUCAACUGACGCUCAUGCACGAAAGUGUGGGUAUCGAACAGGAUUAGAUACCCUGGUAGUCCACACAGUAAACGAUGAAUACUAAUUGUUCGGGGAGAAUGAUCCCUGAGUGAUACAGCGAAAGCGUUAAGUAUUCCACCUGGGGAGUACGCCGGCAACGGUGAAACUCAAAGGAAUUGACGGGGGCCCGCACAAGCGGAGGAACAUGUGGUUUAAUUCGAUGAUACGCGAGGAACCUUACCCGGGCUCAAACGACACAGGAAUACUUUUGAAAGGAGGUAGCUCUACGGAGUCUGUGUCGAGGUGCUGCAUGGUUGUCGUCAGCUCGUGCCGUGAGGUGUCGGCUUAAGUGCCAUAACGAGCGCAACCCCCAUCGCCAGUUACCAGCAAGUCAAGUUGGGGACUCUGGCGAGACUGCCGGCGCAAGCUGUGAGGAAGGCGGGGAUGACGUCAAAUCAGCACGGCCCUUACGUCCGGGGCGACACACGUGUUACAAUGGCAGGUACAGAGAGAAGCAAUGCGGCGACGCAAAGCGGAACUUGAAAGCCUGUCUCAGUUCGGAUUGGAGUCUGCAACUCGACUCCAUGAAGCUGGAUUCGCUAGUAAUCGCGCAUCAGCCAUGGCGCGGUGAAUACGUUCCCGGGCCUUGUACACACCGCCCGUCAAGCCAUGGAAGCCGGGAGUGCCUGAAGUGUGCAACCGCAAGGAGCGCCCUAAGGUAAAACUGGUGACUGGGGCUAAGUCGUAAUCAAGGUAGCCGUAA